GACGAACGCUGGCGGCGUGCUUAACACAUGCAAGUCGAACGGAAAGGCCCUGCUUGCAGGGUACUCGAGUGGCGAACGGGUGAGUAACACGUGGGUGAUCUGCCCUGCACUUCGGGAUAAGCCUGGGAAACUGGGUCUAAUACCGGAUAGGAGCCAUUUUUAGUGUGAUGGUUGGAAAGUUUUUUCGGUGUAUGAUGAGCUCGCGGCCUAUCAGCUUGUUGGUGGGGUAAUGGCCUACCAAGGCGGCGACGGGUAGCCGGCCUGAGAGGGUGGACGGCCACAUUGGGACUGAGAUACGGCCCAGACUCCUACGGGAGGCAGCAGUGGGGAAUAUUGCACAAUGGGCGCAAGCCUGAUGCAGCGACGCCGCGUGGGGGAUGACGGCCUUCGGGUUGUAAACUCCUUUCGCUAGGGACGAAGCUUUUUGUGACGGUACCUAGAUAAGAAGCACCGGCUAACUACGUG
rnacentral:rRNA from 1 species